GGUACGCGGCGUACACAUGCAGUCGAGCGGUAACAGGGGGUGCUUGCACCCCGCUGACGAGCGGCGGACGGGUGAGUAAUGCAUAGGAAACUGCCCAGUAGUGGGGGAUAGCCCGGGGAAACCCGGAUUAAUACCGCGUACGCCCUUCGGGGGAAAGCAGGGGAUCUUCGGACCUUGCGCUAUUGGAUGUGCCUAUGUCGGAUUAGCUAGUUGGUGGGGUAAAGGCCUACCAAGGCGACGAUCCGUAGCUGGUCUGAGAGGAUGAUCAGCCACAUCGGGACUGAGACACGGCCCGAACUCCUACGGGAGGCAGCAGUGGGGAAUAUUGGACAAUGGGGGCAACCCUGAUCCAGCCAUGCCGCGUGUGUGAAGAAGGCUUUCGGGUUGUAAAGCACUUUCAGUGAGGAGGAAAACUCUGCGACUAAUACUCGUAGGGCUUGACGUUACUCACAGAAGAAGCACCGGCUAACUCCGUGCCAGCAGCCGCGGUAAUACGGAGGGUGCAAGCGUUAAUCGGAAUUACUGGGCGUAAAGCGCGCGUAGGUGGUUUGAUAAGCGAGAUGUGAAAGCCCCGGGCUUAACCUGGGAACGGCAUUUCGAACUGUCAG
rnacentral:rRNA from 1 species